rnacentral:rRNA from 1 species
CAGCCGCCGCGGUAAAACGUAGGGUGCGAGCGUUAAUCGGAAUUACUGGGCGUAAAGCGUGCGCAGGCGGUUCGUUAAGUCUGUUGUGAAAGCCCCGGGCUCAACCUGGGAAUGGCAGUGGAUACUGGCGAGCUAGAGUGUGUCAGAGGAUGGUGGAAUUCCCGGUGUAGCGGUGAAAUGCGUAGAGAUCGGGAGGAACAUCAGUGGCGAAGGCGGCCAUCUGGGACAACACUGACGCUGAGGCACGAAAGCGUGGGGAGCAAACAGGAUUAGAUACCCCAGUAGUCCCUGUCUCUUAUAC